rnacentral:rRNA from 1 species
CGGCUAACUUCGUGCCAGCAGCCGCGGUAAGACGAGGGAUCCUAGCGUUGUUCGGAAUUAUUGGGCGUAAAGCGGGUGUAGGUGGACUUAUAAGUCAGGUGUGAAAUCCCAGGGCUCAACCCUGGAAGUGCACUUGAUACUGCAAGUCUUGAGUGUGGUAGAGGCUAUUAGAAUUCUUGGUGUAGUGGUGAAAUACGUAGAUAUCAAGAGGAAUACCGGAGGCGAAGGCGGAUAGCUGGGCCAACACUGACACUGAGACCCGAAAGCGUGGGGAUCAAA